rnacentral:rRNA from 1 species
UGGCGGGACCGGGGUGGAGGUAAUGUCUGGGAAACUGCCUGAUGGAGGGGGGUAACUACUGGAAACGGUAGCUAAUACCGCAUAACGUCGCAAGACCAAAGAGGGGACCUUCGGGCCUCUUGCCAUCGGAUGUGCCCAGAUGGGAUUAGCUAGUAGGUGGGGUAACGGCUCACCUAGGCGACGAUCCCUAGCUGGUCUGAGAGGAUGACCAGCCACACUGGAACUGAGACACGGUCCAG